UUUCCACAUUACCAAAUCGAUUCCACUCAGUUUUUCCCCAAACCAGUGUUUGUUUUUGUGACUCUGGUUGAUCUGAAUCCAGCAGAGCCUAUCAUCCGUCUCCUCCCUGCGAGGCCGUCGUGACGCUCCCCCGCGCUCUCCAGUCGCAGCGCGCUGGCGCCCGCGCAUCCCGUCCUCUUCCGCCGUCGACUCCUCCUCAGCUCCUCUACUCGGCUGAACCGGUACUUGCUCCUUCUCCUUGUUGCUUUUGUGCUCUGCUCGUACUGCUUGCAUGCUUCAUUGCUUCUAUAGUUCGGCGCGCAAGAGAUUUGCGGACUUGGUGUGGGAGGCUAAGCUGUCGAAGAACUGCGCCGGUACCUGAUGGAGAACACGAGUGAGCCCCCAAAUCCCCCUCGCGUCCUAGACACUAGGCCGGUGUGGAGUGGAGAUCCAUCCGGGCCUGGGUCGAUUUCUGCUUUCGCUGGAUCUGCAACACCAGAGUACAAUUGAAAAAUUCAUGGCGUUCAACAUCAAACUAUGAUAUUAACUUGGUUAUCUGGUCUGCUGGCUUAUUCUGUGGCUAUGUGACAUUUGUUCCCCUUCUACUAUAUGUUAUUCUUAAGUACUUCUCAGCAUCGGCUAUUUACAGGAGCACAUAUUGGAUCAAUUUUGGUCGUUGCUUCAGGAGGAGGAGGAGAACCGUACCACAAUGCAAUCGGGAUGUCAUCAAUUGGAGACUACAACGAUGGACAUCUUCGCAAAUUUUGCUGGAGGUUUAGCAAUAUAUUAAUAAGUGUUUAAAAUAAACAUGUGCUUUUUGUUAAACUUCAUUCCUUUUGUUUGGAUGGAUGGAUCAUAUGAUAGACAGAGUCUACAUCAUGAUCAGUUUGGUUGUAAUAAUUGGCCGAAUACAUGUCAUUGUGCAGAGG